rnacentral:rRNA from 1 species
CACGUAGUUAGCCGGCGCUUCUUCUGCAGGUACCGUCACCCCAAAAGGGGCUUCGUCCCCGCUGAAAGAGGUUUACAACCCGAAGGCCGUCAUCCCCCACGCGGCGUCGCUGCGUCAGGCUUCCGCCCAUUGCGCAAUAUUCCCCACUGCUGCCUCCCGUAGGAGUCUGGGCCGUGUCUCAGUCCCAGUGUGACCGGUCGCCCUCUCAGGCCGGUUACCCGUCGUCGCCUUGGUAGGCCGUCACCCCACCAACAAGCUGAUAGGCCGCGAGCCCAUCCCCGACCGAACUGAAUCUCUCCACCCACACACCAUGCGAUGAUGGGUCGUAUCCGGUAUUAGACCCGGUUUCCCAGGCUUAUCCCAGAGUCGAGGGCAGGUUGCUCACGUGUUACUCACCCGUUCGCCGCUCGAGUACCCCCGAAGGGGCCUUUCCGCUCGACUUGCAUGUGUUAAGCACGCCGCCAGCGUCGUCCUCGAGCCACGGAGUCAACGUAC